GUCAUGAAAAAAACACAAGGGGAAACACUGUUGUUUUUCUUUGGUCGUCAUGAAAAAAACAUAAGGGGUAACACUGUUGUUUUUUAUUGGUCGUCAUGAAAAAAAACAUAAGGGGUAACACUAUUGUCUUUGUCAAAUAAAAUAUAAGGGCUAACACUGUCGUAUUUUAUUGGUCGCCAUGAAAAAAAACAUAUUUGAAAAAAGGAAAAAAAUUGUCCGUGACAAAAAAAAUAUAAGGGGGUAACACUUGUUUUUCAUCAGUCACCAUGGGAAAAAAAACACAAGGGGUAACACUGUUGUUUUUUAUUAGUCGUCAUGAAAAAAAACAUAAGGGGUAACACUGUUGUUUUUUAUUGGUCGUCAUGAAAAAAAACAUGAGGGGUAACACUGUUGUUUUUUUAUUGGUCGUCAUGAAUAAAAACAUAAGGGGUAACACUGUUGUUUUUUAUUGAUCGUCAUGAAAAAAAACAUAAGGGGUAACACUGUUGUCUUUGUCAAAUAAAAUAUAAGGGGUAACACUGUCGUAUUUUAUUGGUCGUCAUGAAAAAAAAAACAUUUGAAGAAAAAAAAAAAUUGUCCUUGUCAAAUAAAAUAUAAGGGGUAACACUGUUGUUUUUCAUCAGUCACCAUGGGAAAAAAACAUAAGGGGUAACACUGUUGUUUUUCAUUGGUCGUCAUGAAAAAAAACAUAAGGGGUAACACUGUUGUUUUUUAUUGGUUGUCAUGAAAAAAAAACACAUUUUUUAUUGGUCGUCAUGAAAAAAAACAUAAGGGGUAACACUGUUGUUUUUCUUUGGUCGUCAUGAAAAAAACAUAAGGGGUAACACUGUUGUUUUUCUUUGGUCGUCAUGAAAAAAAAAAACAUUUUUUAUUGGUCGUCAUGAAAAAAAACAUAAGGGGUAACACUGUUGUUUUUCUUUGGUCGUCAUGAAAAAAACAUAAGGGGUAACACUGUUGUUUUUCUUUGGUCUUCUUGAAAAAAACAUAAGGGGUAACACUGUUGUUUUUUAUUGGUCGUCAUGAAAAAAAACAUAAGGGGUAACACUGUUGUUUUUUAUUGGUCGUCAUGAAAAAAACAUAAGGGGUAACACUGUUGUUUUUCUUUGGUCGUCAUGAAAAAAACAUAAGGGGUAACACUGUUGUUUUUCAUUGGUCGUCAUGAAAAAAAACAUAAGGGGUAACACUGUUGUUUUUUAUUGGUUGUCAUGAAAAAAAAACAAAUGUUUUAUUGGUCGUCAUGAAAAAAAACAUAAGGGGUAACACUCUUGUUAUUUAUUGGUCGUCAUGAAAAAAAACAUAAGGGGUAACACUGUUGUCUUUGUCAUAAAACAUAAGGGGUAACACUGUUGUUUUUUAUUGGUCGUCAUGAAAAAAAAAAUACAUUUUUUAUUGGUCGUCAUGAAAAAAAACAUAAGGGGUAACACACUUUUUUUUUAUUGGUCGUCAUGAAAAAAAACAUAAGGGGUAACACUGUUGUUUUUCUUUGGUCGUCAUGAAAAAAACAUACGGGGUAACACUGUCGUUUUUUAUUUUUCUUCAUGAAAAAAAACAUAAGGGGUAACACUGUCGAUAUUUAUCAAUUAAAACAAAGGGGGUAACACUGUCGUUUUUAUCAAAUGAAACAUCAGGGGUGACACUGUUGUUUUUCUUUGGUCGUCAUGAAAAAAACCAUAAGGGGUAACACUGUUGUUUUUUAUUAGUCGUCAUGAAAAAAACCAUAAGGGGUAACACUGUUGUUUUUUAUUGGUCGUCAUGAAAAAAAAAUAAGGGGGUAACACUGUUGUUUUUGUCAAUUAAAAUAUAAGGGGUAACACUGUCGUAUUUUAUUGGUCGUCAUGAAAAAAAACAUUUGAAAAAAAUAAAUAAAUUUCCUUGUCAAAUU
ensembl:lncRNA